rnacentral:siRNA from 1 species
GAAGUGCACUUUCGGAGUCCCGUC